UACACACCGCCCGUCACACCAUGGGAGUGGGUUGCACCAGAAGUAGCUAGUCUAACCUCGGGAGGACGGUUACCACGGUGUGAUUCAUGACUGGGGUG
rnacentral:rRNA from 1 species